rnacentral:rRNA from 1 species
AUUGAACGCUGGCGGCAGGCCUACCACAUGCAAGUCGAGCGAGCGGCGGACGGGUGAGUACUGUAUGGGGAUCUGCCCGAUAGAGGGGGAUAACUACUGGAAACGGUGGUUAAUACCGCAUACUAUAGGCUGACCCCAUAUGGGAUUAUCUAGUAGGUGGGGUAAAGGCUCCCCUAGGCGACGAUCUCUAGCUGGGCUGAGAGGAUGAUCAGCCACACUGGGACUGAGACACGGCCCAGACUCAUACGGGAGUCAGCAGUGGGGAAUAUGGCACAAGGGGCGCAAGCCUGAUGCAGCCAUGCCGCGUGUAUGAAGAAGGCCUUAGGGUUGUAAAGUACUGUCAGCGGGGAGGCGUUACCCGCAGAAGAAGCACCGGCUAACUCCGUGCCAGCAGCCGCGGUAAUUC